GUUUGGCCUCGUUACCGGAAAAGGAAGACAAAAUUGGUUUUGAUUAUAUCGGUAAUGGAGCUGCACGAUUCGACUACUACUUCAAGUCCAAGAAGGAACCCUGAUGAAGGGAAACAUUAGAGAGACUGCAAACACAUGAGACUCUCACUGCAGCUGCUGAACAAAAGUAGUCUAAUGAUUAGAUGAACAUUUCUGCAUACCUUGUGUCGCGACUAAGCAUGCUUUUAAAAUGAAAUAACUUGAC